rfam:Oryza sativa (indica cultivar-group) chromosome 12, whole genome shotgun sequence.
AAAAAGACCAACCGCGGAUUUACAUGCCAACGUUUGACUGUUCGUUUUAUAUGAAAUUUUUUUAUAAUUAGUAUUUUUAUUGUUGUUAGAUGAUAAAACAUGAUGAAUACUUUAUGCUGACUUAUCUUUUUAAUUUUUUUCAUAAUUUUUUCAAAUAAGACGGACGAUCAACAUUAGACACGGAUAUCAGGGUUUGUCUUUUU